AACGAACGCUGGCGGCAUGCCUAACACAUGCAAGUCGAACGUGAUCCGGGGCUUGCUCCGGUGAAAGUGGCGGACGGGUGAGUAACGCGUGGGAACCUGCCCUUUGGUCGGGGAUAACUGCGGGAAACUGCGGCUAAUACCCGAUGUACCCGAGAGGGGAAAGAUUUAUCGCCGAAGGAUGGGCCCGCGUCGGAUUAGGUAGUUGGUGGGGUAACGGCCUACCAAGCCUUCGAUCCGUAGCUGGUCUGAGAGGAUGAUCAGCCACACUGGGACUGAGAUACGGCCCAGACUCCUACGGGAGGCAGCAGUGGGGAAUAUUGGACAAUGGGCGCAAGCCUGAUCCAGCAAUGCCGCGUGAGUGAAGAAGGCCUUAGGGUUGUAAAGCUCUUUCGGCGGGGACGAUGAUGACGGUACCCGCAGAAGAAGCCCCGGCUAACUCUGUG
rnacentral:rRNA from 1 species